UACGGGGGGGGCAAGCGUUGUUCGGAAUCACUGGGCGUAAAGCGCGUGUAGGCGGUCUCCUAAGUCUGGUGUGAAAGCCCGGGGCUCACCCCCGGAAGUGCACUGGAAACUGAGAGACUCGAGUACCGGAGAGGAGGGUGGAAUUCCUGGUGUAGCGGUGAAAUGCGUAGAUAUCAGGAGGAACACCGGUGGCGAAGGCGGCCCUCUGGACGGAUACUGACGCUGAGACGCGAAAGCGUGGGGAGCAAACAGG
rnacentral:rRNA from 1 species